GUUCUCGCUUUGGCAGCACAUAUACUAAAAUUGGAAUGGUACAGAUUAAGAUUAGCAUGGCCCCUGCACAAGGAUGACAUGAAAGAGGGGCAGAACGAUAGAAUAGCAGU